GACGUAGGGCGCGAGCGUUGUCCGGAUUUAUUGGGCGUAAAGAGCUCGUAGGCGGCUUGUUGCGUCGUCCGUGAAAUCCCGUGGCUCAACUGCGGGCUUGCGGACGAUACGGGCAGGCUAGAGUUCGGUAGGGGAGACUGGAAUUCCUGGUGUAGCGGUGAAAUGCGCAGAUAUCAGGAGGAACACCGGUGGCGAAGGCGGGUCUCUGGGCCGAUACUGACGCUGAGGAGCGAAAGCGUGGGGAGCGAACAGG
rnacentral:rRNA from 1 species